UACGAAGGGGGCAAGCGUUGCUCGGAAUUACUGGGCGUAAAGGGCGCGUAGGCGGCUUAUCAAGUCAGGCGUGAAAUUCCCGGGCUCAACCUGGGGGCUGCGCUUGAUACUGAUUGGCUUGAAUGCGGGAGAGGAUAGUGGAAUUCCCAGUGUAGAGGUGAAAUUCGUAGAUAUUGGGAAGAACACCGGUGGCGAAGGCGGCUAUCUGGCCCGUAAUUGACGCUGAGGCGCGAAAGCGUGGGGAGCAAACAGG
rnacentral:rRNA from 1 species